GCCUUCGGGAACUGUGAGACAGGUGCUGCAUGGCUGUCGUCAGCUCGUGUUGUGAAAUGUUGGGUUAAGUCCCGCAACGAGCGCAACCCUUAUCCUUGUUUGCCAGCACGUAAUGGUGGGAACUCCAGGGAGACUGCCGGUGAUAAACCGGAGGAAGGUGGGGACGACGUCAAGUCAUCAUGGCCCUUACGAGUAGGGCUACACACGUGCUACAAUGGCGAGUACAGAGGGCAGCAAAACCGCGAGGUGGA
rnacentral:rRNA from 1 species